UCUGAGCUCCGAGCGCUCGGCUUCUCUGUUUUUGCGCAGCGCCCUCAUUCUGCCAACAAAUCGCAGAGGAGCACCACCCACCGGGCUACCGAUGAUUGGCCAAACCGGCCGUCAAACAGAACGUCACGCGGCAGCCGGGCGGGGCGGGACAGAACUCUCGCCCGGGCGGCCCGGGUGAGUGUGAGUGUGAGAGCGAGAACAGCCCCGCAGGUCCCGAGGCGCUGGCUGGGGACACUGCCGCGGAAAGUUCCCAGUCCCCAGCCGCAGAUCUGCAGGAAAUGAAAUGUUUUGAGGUCUUCAAGCUGACUCGUCAGAAUCCUGGAGCCUUUUAAAAAAUGACGAAUUGGAAGAAAAAAUUAAUUUAUCAAUAACCAGGCUCCACCAGGAUUGAACUAGAUGGUUGUUCCUGGCACUUGUCAUUCCCGGCAAGCACAGCACCGAGAGCAAAUACAAAAGGCCUAAAGUGCAUUGCAUCUUUUAUGGAAGUACCCAAUGUGGAAAUCAUGGAUUUUAACUAAGGAACAAGAAAACUGAUGAAACAGGUUCAAAAGAAAGG